AGGCAUUUGCUAGAAUACACCCAC
rnacentral:miRNA from 1 species